rnacentral:rRNA from 1 species
CACUAUGCCUAGCCCUAAACAUUGAUAAUACUCUACCCAGUUUAUCCGCCCGGGGACUACGAGCGUCAGCUUGAAACCCAAAGGACUUGGCGGUGCUUUAGAUCCACCUAGAGGAGCCUGUUCUAGAACCGAUAAUCCCCGUUCAACCUCACCUUUCCUUGCUCAUUCCGCCUAUAUACCGCCGUCGUCAGCUUACUCUUUGAGGAACCAGCCGUAAGCGCAACUGGUACAACCUAAAACGCCAGGUCGAGGUGUAGCGAAUGGAAAGGGAAGAAAUGGGCUACAUUCAAUAACAAUAAUGCAUACGAACGAUGUCCUGAAAUAAACAUCUGAAGGAGGAUUUAGUAGUAAGUAGAGAGUAGAGUGCUCUGCUGAAGCCGGCCCUGAAGCGCGUACACACCGCCCGUCACUCUCCCCGAGCUAACCAUAAAAAUUAAUAAUAAGCAAAACUUGCAAAGGGGAGGCAAGUCGUAA